AGCGGGGUGGAGCAGUUAGGAGUGCUCGUCGGGCUCAUAACCCGAAGGUCCAUGGUUCAAAUCCAUGCCCCGCUA
rnacentral:tRNA from 1 species